rnacentral:lncRNA from 1 species
GUUCAAUAAUGACGAUUUUGACUUUUACCGUUCAGGAGUUAUGGUUCUUGAAAGAUUGAAAAAUGGUGUUUCCCGUCGUGUCCGUGCAUUUUCUCAUGAACCAUUCAACCAAAGCUUUUGAAAUUUUAAUAUGUUGUUACUGAUGACAAAAUAGAGGUCAAGUUCCAUAAUGACGAUUUUGACUUUUACUGUUCAGGAGUUAUGGUUCUUGAAAGAUUGUAAAAUGGCGUUUCCAUUCACGUUGUUGCAUUUACUCAUGAACCAUUCAAUCUAAGCUUUUCAAAUAUUAUUAUUUCAAAAUGUUGAUACUGAUGACAAAAAUGGAGGUCAAAUUUGAUAUUGAUGAUUUUCACUUUCACCAUUCAUCAGUAAUGGUUCUUGUGAUAUUGCCAGGACACAAAUAAAUGUAAAUAAAUCCGGUUUGCUGUCGUUGUGACAGCCUCUUGUUGUGUUUGUUGGGUUGCUGUCUUGUUGAUGUAUGCUCAACAUCCUUCUUCAUUCAUAUCUAUAUGCAAGAACCAUACCGGUGACUGUAACUGUAUUAUAUAUUAUAACGGAGGUGCCUUCAUAAAGUUGUAUUGCAGUUGGAUAAGUUUACAGGAACUUCUUUGUUACAGUAAAUUCAGAAAUAAUUGCGUGCAUUUAUUAUUGCGAUUUUGUUAAUUUACAAUUAAAUGCGAUUUUAAUUUUACGAUUUUGAGAAAAAUCCUGUUUAAUUCAUAGAAAACAAUUUCAAAGUGUGCGUUAAAAUUAUUGUGUUUGCAACUUUGUCGCAUUUUUCACAAUAUUAAAAACCUCACAUGAAUAAUUUCUGAAUUUACAGUAUUAAGUUGUAUUGCAGUUGGACCAGAUUACAGGAUAUUUUCUUUAUUUAAAAGACAUUCAGUGGUAGAUCCAGUAAGCUGAGGUUGGUUCCCAGGGUUAAACCCCCCCUUUUUAUGAUCAAUGCUUUUGAAUGGAGACAUAAUUGGAACCCCUCUUUUAAAAAGGGCUGAAUUCACCCCUGGACACGAGUCAUUAAUAUUGUUGAUUGCAAUUCUUUUCAGUGGAGGAUCCAGAACUUUGCCUAAGGGGGGCCCGCACAAGUCAUUCUUCAAUGAUUCCAUAUAUAAUCAACCAAAUUUUUCCCACGAAAGGGGGGGGGGGAGGCCUACCUGGAUCUGCCUAUGCUUUUAAUGUUUUGAUUAACAGUUAUUUGUGACUAUUAAAAAAAGGACUGAUGUGUACAUUUUUAAAAAGCUCAAAAAAGGAAGAUUGAUUUUGUUUUUAAAUCCUGUGUGUCACAAAAUAUGAUUAGUUAUGUAUUUUCAACUUGAUCUGAAAAUAUUUUUAAUAAGGGUUCACCAUUUUGAUAACUAAAGAAGUUCUAUAAAUUAAGGGUUACUCUAAAUAAUUUAGGAAUCAAGCCAAAAAUAAUAGUAAUGUAUUUGAUCUAUAUAUCUAAAUAUAUGAUAUAUUUAUAACCCCUAUUGUGAUUUAUGGUCCCCUACAAUGUAAAAAUUGUUAAUAUUUUAGAUUGUUAUAUGUGUACCUUUCAAGAUUUGACUGUAAUAUGAUGACUCUAUAUGAUAAAAAUAGAAAAAACACACGACAAUUGGAUGUAAUAUAUGUGGUGUUUAUUUCUUGUAUGUAUUUCUUUUAUUUCAAGUUUUUUAUGAAUAGAGAGAAAAAACAUGUGAAAAUUUUUAUUUUUUUUGUUAAGACUUUUCGAGUUAGUUGAAAGCUUGCUUGCCUUUAGUUUAAACGAAUGUUAUCCAUGGAGUACAUAAAAAAGAUUAUGUAAUGAAUGAUAUUGCACAAGUGGUUACAUUUACAUUAAAUACAUUAAUUUAUAAUGAUAUGUUCAUAGAUAUCAUCAGAUUUAAUUAGAUAAGUCAGACUAUUAUUAUAUUUAAUAUUGUUUAUUAAAGAAUUUGUUUAAAAAACUAUUAUGUAUAUUUCAAAUACAGUGCACAAGUUUUGUAAAAUAAAAUUACAAUGUAUUUUUUUUUUAAAUGUUUAUUAAUUACAGUGUACUUUUGUUUCACAUGGUGAUUGUACACACAAAUUACAUUGUAUUUUGAUACACACAGAUUACAUUGUAUGAUUGUACACAUAAAUUACAUUGUAUAUUUGUAUACACAGAUUACAUUGUAUGAUUGUACACACAGAUUACAUUGUAUAUUUAUACACACAAAUUACACAUUGUAUAAGUGUAAACACAAAACAUUGUGCUACAAUUGUUUAAUUUUAUUCCUUGUACCUUGUUUAAUUAAAGGGAUGUAAACAAAUGCAGAAUUGAGUCAUUAUAAGUAAAAGAAUAAAAUAGUCCAUUAUUUAUUUUAUAAAAUUAAAAAUGAUAAGUUAUUAAAACACCUGUCAUUUUUUAAUAUUUCUGUUUUUUAUUCCAUUGAUUCAUUUUGUUAAUUAUAAGUAUGUGAUUGUUACAGAAAAUUCAUAACACAAAUUUUCAUUUUAUAAAUGUUGUUUAGUUGUUGUUUAUAAGUAUGUUAUUCUAUUUACUUAAUGUUUUGUUCUAGAUAUUGACUCUGUCCAUACAGUAAUAUAAUUUAUUCAGGAUGAAUUUUACUGAAUUCAUUUGCUCCAUUGUGAUAAUUAACAUUUUCAAAAGUAAUGGAAAGUUGAGAGUACAAAAGGUGUGAACUACCUAUAAAUGGGCUGCCAAAACUUUUUUCUUUCCUCGUGUUAGAACUAAAAAUAAUACGAGAGUUUAUACAAUACAAGCAUUUAGUUUCAAGGGGCUUAUCUCCCAACAUAACUCAUUACAUAAGCUAAAUUCUAUUAAUUUCUUAUUUAUUUAAACACUUGCACAAAAUCAUUUUGAUUGGCCAAGACCAAUACUAAGUAUUGUGUAUUUAGCCAAUCAUAAUCCAUAAAUUUAAAUUAUUGUACAUAUUGUACAGAUAUCAAUAAUCAUGCUAUUCGUCAAUGCAGACACAAGCAGGGAAAUCUAGAUUCUGAAAUUACAAUUUUAAAAAAGGAGAAUAGUUAAGCCAGAAUUAAUAGAUUAUACAUGAUAUGAUAUUUUAUGUCAAUGUUAAACAAAUCGUUGAAUUUUUAUUUUAAAUAUUGCACCCAAAAAAAAGAGGAUAAUUUUGAAAAGUAUCAAUCUAAUUAAAAUUAAAUCCUUUAAUUGCUCCUGUUCUCAUAAUUAUGACAUGAAGCGAUUAAAGGAUAAAAUUUUAAUUCUAAUUCGGAAUUUAUGAAGCAAAUUUAUUGGUUCACAAUAUCAGAGUUAUUGGUAAUAGAUAUAUAAAAUUGUCCUUGAUGACUGUAAUAAUUAAUGGUGUAAACUUCUCAAUUAUCUUUUAUCACUGUUACUUUGAGUAUGGACAGAUGUUGAUAUGACAUAUCUUAGCUUCACCAGAAAGGGUUCUUUUAUUACAAUGUUUGUCAUGUGACACAAUGUCAUGUGACAUGUCGUGCCACAAUGUCAUUGUUACUGGUAAUUUACAAAUUUGAUCUUUCACCCGACCAAAUAAUACAGUUUUAGGGUGGACAUUUUUCUUUACCAAAGAUUUAUUUAUAUAUGAUUUAAUUCAAUAAUUGAUUGGAUUUUUUUUAAUAAUAAUAAUAAUAACCAUUGGCGGAUCCAGGGGGGUUCUGGGGGUUGGAACUCCCCCCCUUUUUUUUUGCCGAUCAAUGCAUUUGAAUGGGAACAUAUAGUUGGAACCCCCCCUUUGUCCUGGGUUGGGACCCCCCCUUUUUUAAAUGGCUGGAUCCGCCACUGUAAUAACUCAUUAAAAUAUAAUGUCUUAAAUAUUGUGAAGUUAAUGCUAGAUUGCAAUAUCAGAUACUAAAUGUGAUUUAGCUUUAAAUUAGGGUGAACAUUAUUUUAGAAUUUUUCUCUACAUGACUGUAUUGAAGUAUAAUGCUCAAUUUAGUUCAUAUUUCAUUAAUCAAUGAAUCUUUUUCUCCCUCCUUCAUUUUGUUAAUAUAGUCCAUGUGUUUUGUAAAUUAACUAGAACAAAUUCCACAAAUUCGAAUUUUUACAUCAAUUAACAAAUCAAAAGUUUAUCUUGAAAAUUAACAAGACAUUCAAUGACAUUUUUUUUUUUAAACUUUUAUAAAUAUUUCUGUAACUUAACAUGAAAAUGAAAUGUCAUGGCUCAAAACCCUAUUCAGCCAUUUGUCCUUAUAAGUAGCAGUGAGAAUAUUUUCUGGUGAAGCUGAGACACCUCCAAUAAUAUUUAUUGUAUACAGUUUAUGUGUGGCUGUCACCACAUAUCAUAUUUUGGGGUUUGUGAUUUUUUGACAGAUGCAAUAUAAAAACUUCAGAAACUUGAUGUGAUAUUAUUCUAGUAAACAGUGCUGUGCUUGUA